AUAAAAGUUAAAGCAAUAGGGAGAGAAACAGAAGACAACUAGGAGCUACAACUAAAACGGUUUUUACUGGAGACUAUAAAACGGCAGUGGUCGGUAGUUGAGAGUAAAUACAAGUGAGUUAGUAAACUCGGUUGCUGUUGUUAGCUGCUAAUUAGCCGCGCGCUAACUGCUCGCGCUAGCUUGGAAGUGCGGACAUCCCCGUGACUUUCCCUCGCUGAAAACUUUCCCUUGUUUACUGCUUCAAGAAGCCAGACACGUGGUUUUCUGCCUGGACGCCUCGUUUCCUGCUUGUCCAGCCUUCUCAGCACAGAAAUCGGUCAGGUUUUUUCAACACCCCAGACUUCGUUCCUAUUUUUUUUGGGACUCCUUUUUAUUGGACUUCAACUUAAACUUACCUUUUAAUUCCUGGAACUGUGUGUUAGUGGCCGAGUGGUGGUAUAUCCUCCUUCAGUGAAUGGUGUUUGUAAAAUGUUUGAUAUUAUUAUUUUUAAUUUUUUAUGAGUGUUUGAACUGAAUGUGAAUUUUGAAACUUAUACUUGAGUUUAAGGUUAAUACGGAAAAUGCAGGUUAAAGGGUGCACCCAAGAUAGACCCAAGAUAGAGUUGAGAUAUUUUGAACUUGAUACUGCAGUUUUUCCUUUGUUCAUAUUUGUGACGUCAAAUCUUUUAUCAUAUUUCUAUACUACUAAAGCCGGUAUAUUUUUGCAUUUAAA